rnacentral:rRNA from 1 species
AACGAACGCUGGCGGCAGGCUUAACACAUGCAAGUCGGACGCAUGUCUUCGGACAUGAGUGGCAGACGGGUGAGUAACGCGUGGGAAUCUACCCUUUGGUACGGGAUAGCUCCGGGAAACUGGGAUUAAUACCGUAUGUGCCCUGGACUUAAGGUUUGGGGAAAGAUUGAUCGCCAAGGGAUGAGCCCGCGUCGGAUUAGCUAGUUGGUGGGGUAAAGGCCCACCAAGGCGACGAUCCGUAGCNGGUCUGAGAGGAUGACCAGCCACCAUUGGGACUGAGACACGGCCCAAACUCCUACGGGAGGCAGCGAGUGGGGAAUAUUGGACAAUGGGCGCAAGCCUUGAUCCAGCCAUGCCGCGUGAGUGAUGAAGGUCUUAGGAUUAGUAAAGCUCUUUCACCGGGGGACGAUAAUGACGGUACCCGGAGAAGAAGCCCCGGCUAACCUUCGUGCCAGCCGCCGCGGUAAU